GGAAUAUUGGACAAUGGGCGUAAGCCUGAUCCAGCAAUGCCGCGUGAGUGAUGAAGGCCUUCGGGUUGUAAAGCUCUUUCGCACGCGACGAUGAUGACGGUAGCGUGAAAAGAAGCCCCGGCUAACUUCGUGCCAGCAGCCGCGGUAAUACGAAGGGGGCUAGCGUUGUUCGGAAUUACUGGGCGUAAAGGGCGCGUAGGCGGUACUUCAAGUCAGGCGUGAAAGCCCCGGGCUCAACCUGGGAACCGCGCUUGAGACUGGAGAACUAGAGUUCGGGAGAGGAUGGUGGAAUUCCCAGUGUUGAGGUGAAAUUCGUAGAUAUUGGGAAGAACACCGAUGGCGAAGGCAGCCAUCUGGACCGACACUGACGCUGAGGCGCGAAAGCGUGGGGAGCAAACAGGAUUAGAUACCCGAG
rnacentral:rRNA from 1 species